rnacentral:rRNA from 1 species
GGGGAGGGUCAUUGGAAACUGGGAAACUUGAGUGCAGAAGAGGAGAGUGGAAUUCCACGUGUAGCGGUGAAAUGCGUAGAGAUGUGGAGGAACACCAGUGGCGAAGGCGACUCUCUGGUCUGUAACUGACGCUGAGGAGCGAAAGCGUGGGGAGCGAACAGGAUUAGAUACCCUGGUAGUCCACGCCGUAAACGAUGAGUGCUAAGUGUUAGGGGGUUUCCGCCCCUUAGUGCUGCAGCUAACGCAUUAAGCACUCCGCCUGGGGAGUACGGUCGCAAGACUGAAACUCAAAGGAAUUGACGGGGGCCCGCACAAGCGGUGGAGCAUGUGGUUUAAUUCGAAGCAACGCGAAGAACCUUACCAGGUCUUGACAUCCUCUGACAACCCUAGAGAUAGGGCUUUCCCUUCGGGGACAGAGUGACAGGUGGUGCAUGGUUGUCGUCAGCUCGUGUCGUGAGAUGUUGGGUUAAGUCCCGCAACGAGCGCAACCCUUGAUCUUAGUUGCCAGCAUUUAGUUGGGCACUCUAAGGUGACUGCCGGUGACAAACCGGAGGAAGGUGGGGAUGACGUCAAAUCAUCAUGCCCCUUAUGACCUGGGCUACACACGUGCUACAAUGGACAGAACAAAGGGCUGCGAGACCGCAAGGUUUAGCCAAUCCCAUAAAUCUGUUCUCAGUUCGGAUCGCAGUCUGCAACUCGACUGCGUGAAGCUGGAAUCGCUA